UACAGAUUCACAGGAAUCAGCUCAAUGAAACCAGUGGAAAAUGGACUUUGAUCAUGUGACCAAACGACUCCUUGAACCAGCCUGGUUAAAACAGGAAGCCGACACCAAAACCUGCAAUUCCUCCAAUGACCACUUGAGGCUUCAUAAGUCCAGAUCCUCUAAACGACCCCUGGUCUGCUGUUGAAUCCGGAUCAGAACCUGGCAGAGCUCCUCCAGGUGGGAGGUGUCAGAGGUAGUCAUCCUCGCUGGACGGGUCGUCU